rnacentral:lncRNA from 1 species
UUUUUUUUUCUGUCAAAUCAGCUUAUCAGGUUGCUUUUCAUGAAGUUCAUGGUGCAAAUUUGGCUUCUAGCAGUACCUCGAGCUCUGGGGGAGAAGCUGCUGGAAACUUAUAUGGAAGAGUAAUGUGCCGCCGAUGAUCCGCAAUUUUGCUUGGUGAAUGGCGACGGAUGCCCUCCCAACAUGGAAGAACAAGAACAAAAUUGGUUUGGAAACGAUAAGUGGUUGCCCGGUGUGUGGAAUGGAGGUAGAAGAUAAUUUCCACCCGUUUUUAAGGUGCCAACGUGGUCGGGAUUUGUAUAGAGAAAUGUCUAAUGUAUGGAAACUACCAGCAAUGGAUUCCUUCGUGAACACUGGUAAGGAAUGGCUCCUCCAUGCGCUCGACCACUUAUGUGAUAUUGAUCGUACUAAACUAUUGCUCAUCUUCUGGAGGAGCUGGUAUGUGCGUAAUGAAAUUGUGCAUCACAAGCCAGCGCCGGUCAUGGAGUCCUUGAUAAGCUUUUUGAGGAGAUAUCUGGAUGAAUUAAUUGGCAUCAAGCUAAAUUCAGAGAUGGAUCCAGCGAAAGGAAAGGGAUAUUUAUCUUAUAAUCAGCAUGUUGGGGCGGCAACCACACCACAACAACCGAUUUCUGAAGCUAGAUGGGUACCGCCUGCUAAUGGCUGGGUCAAAUUGAAUGCUGAUGGCUCAUUUGUAGCAAGCGAUGAUGCUGGUGCUGGUAUGAUUCUUCGAGACAAUGAGGGCAGGAUCAUCUUCUCGGCUUGUAGAUCACUAUUUUCUUGCAGAGAUCCACUAGAAGCUGAGCUAUGUGGGAUAAUGGAAGGAUUAUCACUUGCCAUACAAAGGUCUGAUUUGCCUGUUGCAAUUGAAUCUGAUUCAAGUAUGGCAGUAUCCUUGUUAUCUUCUGGGGAAGUUGAUCGCUCAGUUAAUGCCUCCUUGGUGAAUGAAAUUAGACUUUUAUUUCGUCUUAGACAAACUUGUAUUACUCAUGUAUCGCGUGCCCAAAACAAAGCUAGUGAUAGUUUAGCUAGGUUUGCUCGAGUUGAGGGGCGAACUAUGACUUGGCUAGGGUCUCGGCCAGAGGAAGUCUUGGGUAUUUCCCUUGAUGAUUGUAAGGACAUUGUCUUUUGAGUAAUACAAGUGUUCCCGCAAAAAAAAACUUGAUAAAACUAUGGUGCAACUAAAAACUACUCCCAGCCGUUAUCAUCAUCAUUAUCAUUGGUGGUGUUGUCCGAGGUAUCAAGCCACAUGUCAUCCCAAUGGUCAUCGUUAGGGGAGAAGAUCGACGUCCCGCCUGCCUCGACGAUAUCGCAUUGCGAUAUGGCCAGUGCCUUGCGCCGACGCCUGUUGGCACGCUCCGUGCGGCGCCUUGUUGUCCUCUCCGCCCAGAAGGCGUUCUCGGCGGCGACGUUCUCCAGGUGGCGCAGGUGCCACUCCGCCAUGGCUCGCUCGUCCUCCUCGGCGACGAGGAGGCGGCAUUGCAGCCGAGCGUGGUCCGCAUGGUCCUGGUUCGUGAUCAGACGAGGCGGAGGGGCGACGCGCUGGGACUGCUCGCGCGUGUAGACGUUCCGGAAGUUCAUCUGCGACGGGGGCCUCUCCAAGCCCCACGCCGCCGCGUCGUACGCGCGGGCCGCCUCGUGCAUGGUCCGGAACGAACCGAGGCUGAGCCGGUCCAGAUCUCGGCAGAGUACCAGCCGUUGGGGCGCUCGCGGACGCCGCGGUAGCCCGAAGAUCCCCGACGGCAUGGCGGUGGCGGGGCGCUGGAAGCGGCAAGAAAGCCUCGAAGCGGCGAGGUGGCGAGGGAAAGGGCGCGUGGCAGUGUGGUGGAGGGCGUGACGAGCGACGCAUUUUAUAGGCGCGCGAAGCGGCGCGCCAAAUCUAACGUGCGAGCUGCCGCUUUCUCCCCCGAGCGCGCAACCGCUUCCCGCGCGCUAAUUUACCGUCACCGCUGGAGCGCGUGAAAACGGGCCGCGCGCGUUUUUUGACGCGGCUGUUCGAGAUGCUCUUAGGACGUUGCCGCUCGUCUCCGUCAACACUCGCCGUUGUCGCUCUUCAUGCGCCCCCGUCCCAAAAUUGAUUGAUGCGAGCUAAUUUUUCAGGUAACAACUGAGAAAUGGCAAACGUGAAAAAAGGAAGAGUUCCACGCAUGCAUUGGCAGCGUCAUUGGUGGUGGUCUCCUGAGCCAGACUGGUCAAGCGCAUGCAGGAACAUGUGAGGUCCAUCGAGCUUAAUGCGUUGGUCCUGCAUGUUUUGUCAGACAAGGGGUUAAACUGGGAGUGUGAGAUCCAUCCUUUCCGGGAACGAAACUACUAUGCGGACGACACUUCACCGCACGAACUUUGGACGACGGAGGAAUUAACGGUGCUAUCCAGUGUUUGGUCUAUGCAUGGACGGCUUGAUAUACUCUGUCGUCUGAAAAUCGUUCAGAUUUGUCGUGUGUGUAGCAGCGUUGUUCCGGGAACCUGCGCGCCAUUCCCUUUUGAGAUGUUAAACGAGGAGGACCUAGGUACCUAGCUAGCUGGUGAUUGGUCGAUGCACUUUCGUUUUUACGUCACUCUCUCCCUCCACGGUCCGUCCACCUGUGCUUUACUUUGUAUCAGUCGAUUCAACGACCACGACCGGCCGGAGCGAUGAUGAGAUUAAUGAUCAUGCAUGUCCACGUCCAAUUGUGCUAACGGCGAGAGACGACCGGCGCCGCCCGGUCCAUGCAGAGUCCGUCCUCGAUCGAGUCUAGAGUUCAAACUGCCGAUGAUGUUUAUGUGUUUGGUCGUCUAAACAUGCGUCCUGGGCCUUGGCCACAACCAAAGUUUUGAUUACCGAAUGUGGCAAUUUUACCCGGGGGACUGGUAAACGUGGUUACCACGGUUAUCGAGAAAUACCAAGAAUAUUUCAAACGAAUUUUACAGUUGAAAUUUGAAUUCAAAUAAAUGAAUGAACAAACAUUCAAACCAGAGACCUCCCAAAACAGGAACUAGGUUGGUACCAACACGUCAGAACCAACUCUCAUGGCAUUAAUUAGAUCCUACGUACUUUACUAUAGAUCGAGGAUUUAAAUUUAAAAAAUUGAUAUUUUUUGCUCGGUAUGAGGAUUUACCGAGGGGCACGAAAAUACGCGUAACCAUGAGAAAUCUCGAAAUUUCGACCAGUAACCAAAACCUUGGCCACAACAUCCUCGUAAUUAACUGGAUGAUGCAUGUACAUUACUACUACUUCUCCAGAGCAAAACUUUGCCGUGAUAUAGUAUAUACUCGUAGCACGUACUUCGUCUGUCUCAUAAAGUCAUACUUCCUUCAUCUAGGUGUGUAAGUCAUCUUACGAAAAUCAAAUAAUCCCAAAACACUUAGGCACGGUGCAUUAAAUUUCACCUUGUUUCUUGUUUCUUGACAUAUCAACCAAUAAGAGAAGUAAGGUGUGCAUGCUUUUAAUGACUUGAGAUUAUCAAACACGACAUGCAAUGGUUAGUUCAUUGCAUGCAAUGCUAUUAAUUAGCAAAUGAACAUUAAAUUUUCUUGUUUUCCCCUCCUCCUUGGUCACGGUGCACAACCUAAAAUGACUUACUCACCUAGACGGAGGGAGUAAUACAACACGUACUGUUUUUCGUAAAUGUUAAGUCUUCAUUAACUUUAACCAAGCCAUGCAUAGGGUCAACAGUUGAACACAAUGAGUUAAUUGUGACGUGGCCGGUCUGAAUCCGUGCGGGGCUUGAGUGGUGGGAGCGAGUGUAUGAGUUGGCACUUCGGGUUAGGUGGCGCGCGCGGGGUCAUCGCCGGUGCUGGAGAAGGAGGAGGGGGACAUGGUUGUGGCCUUGUGGGGAUGGUCUGGACAACAGCUCAGGGAGGCUAGGAGGCAGGAGCAGGGGAAGAAGACGAACGGUGUGCGAACUGAGGAACACGAUUUUCCUUUUUUUUUCUUUCUUUCUUUCUUAUAUGCCACGUAGGAGCAUAUGUUGCUCCAGACAUUGCCACACUUCCCAACGGUGGCACAGUGACGGUGACAGAGGACGAAAAAUUUUAGGUAGCGCGGACUCUAAAGCAUAAAACUAAUCAAUGCAAAAUCAAAGUACUUCAUGAAAUGAUUUCUUUCAUGUGAUGUACUCCCUCCGUCCAGAAAUACUUGUCAUCAAAAUGGAUAAAAGGGAAUGUAUCUAGACGUAUUUUAGUUCUAGAUAUAUUUUUUUAUUCAUUUUGAUGACAAGUAUUUUCAAACGGAGGGAGUAUAUUUAUAGUACACGUCAAUAUUGAUUUCAACCCAACAUGGAGGAGGGCGUUAUUUUGUUUUUGAGUGGAUUACUUCCGUACUCCCGGUUCAUGUUAUUGGUCGAACCAAAAGCAAUCCUAGAAAGAUUGCAUUUGGUUCUAAGUUGUAACAAGAGUCGGGAUUAUACUGCGAAAUAUAAUUUGAAUCUGAUCUUUAUACAACGAGGAACUCAGCGGGUAAAGAGGGGCGAAUUCUCAUACAAUCUGUGAUGAGGAAAAGACAAAGCCGGCACUCACGGUCUGUUUUGUUUAUGAAUAUAAAAAAGGUGCAUACGAUAUCAUACCACGUUCAUAUUGCUUUGAAGUUCCCGUGGCAUUUCCAUCCCCGGAAGAAGUUCCCGUGCCAUGAUACGUUUCUUUAGUGAUCGGUUUCUUUGUAUUUGUCAAGAAAAGAAACACAAAUCGUAUGACCGGCCGCGUGCAUUUGUUUCCUGUGCACAUAUGGAUCAGGUACGGCCUGGGCGCUCACCUUCCCAUCCUCUCGAGCAUGAAAAAAAUCAAUAGAUUUAUCCCGACUAGAAUACUACUCCCUCCAUCCGGAAAUACUUGUCGAAGAAAUAGAUGAAUCUAGACGUAUUUUAGUUAUAGAUGCAUUCAAUUUUAUCCAUCUCUCCGACAAGUAUUUCGGGACGGAGGGAGUACUAAACAUGCACACAUGCUCAUUUUUGCAAAUCCGACACAUUUCCGUUCAUUUUUAAACAAGUAAGUAGUACAUGUAAAGAUCAACAAGAUCGGCACCUGCUACAAGCCGACGGUGUAGCUAGCGACAAGGCAGUUCACCCAUUCUGUCAACGUAUUAUCUGUAUGUAUUUUUAAAAUUUAUUUAUUUAUGCAUGGUUUCAAAAGCGUUCAACUCAAUGUGCACACUUAAUUAGAGACAAGUAGGGCGACGUCAAGCACAGGAAAAACAUAACAUCGUGAUUAAUGCUCAUUUAUGUAAAUGCUGCGUAUGUUUCCUUCGUAUUUGGACAGGAGAACGCCCUGUGCAGGCACGCGUGCACACGUACAUAAACUAGCCACAUGUGAUCAACGUACGUACGGCAUCGGCCACACACGAAACACGAUGCAUGCGUGUAGGUAGGCACGAUCGACCGGCGACGCAACGAGGCAAUGAUCCACUCGUUCUGUCCAUGCUGCAUGUCUGCCUUUCUAAACGAUUUCAACCGUCCAAGUCGUGAAAGCUAGCUAGCGUUCAACUCAACGUGCACCAGAUCGACGAGACCGACCGACCGAAAACGUUUCCACUCACGCCUGAAUGAAUGAAGGAAGGAAUUCAUCGGUCGUGCAUGUAUUGAUAUUAUUUUUUGUGGUGGUAGUGUGCAUGUAUUGAAUUAUAGAUAUUGACCGUGUUGCCUCCGGUACGCCCCGUCGACUCGACGAGGGCCGUGGUCGUGGUUGGUGGAGAACCGGAGUAGUAGAAAGAGUUCCAUGCAUGCAUGCAUGGCAGACGUUGGUGGUGGUUUGGUUUGGGUGGAAACCGACCCCACGUGUGUGUUGGGGUCUCCUUGGCUAGACUGGUCAAGCGCAUCCACAUGUUCCUGCAUGCAUGUUUUCUCAGGCUGGCCUGGAGAUCAAAACUGCUGGGAGGGUGGAGUAAAUUGCAUAAAACUAUCAUUUUAAAGACUAGGUUUGCGAAAAACACUAUAAUACAUUUUUUUGCAGAAAACACCACAUCGAUAAUCUUUUUACAAAAAACACUGAUCGACGGAUCGAGCUCGGUUAAGUGCGUUUAUGACAGACGGGACCCGCCAAUCAGGCUGAUGUGGCACCACUUAACCUCUCAGAUAUAACGGUGAUGUUUGAUAACGUUAUCCUCAUGUGGGGCCCUAUGGGGGUCCACCUGUCAUCCAAAGAAAAAAGAAAAAAAAAUGCCUCCUACUCUUGUUACCUCACGACCCCGCACGAGGGCAUGGUGCGAGAGACGCAUCGCGCGGCCACCGCCCAACCUGCGUACGCCACCGGCCGGCAACCAACCAGCAUCUCCAACUCGGGCAGGAAUCCCUCACCGGGACAGCGGGCGCGCUGCUCGGCUUCACCUGCGCGUUCCUCGUCACCGGCCGCACCCCGCCCCCGCUGCAACUCACAGAAGUUGCUCGACCCCAACGGCGGGCCGGCGUUCCAUCGCAUGGCUCCCUCCGGUGCACGUUGUGCCACGGCUGCGACGAGGCAACCGACCGCCUGAUCUCGGAGCUCCAACCGUUCCCGCCUCGCCGGCGUGGCCACGCCACCCGCCGACGACCAUCUCCGCGUCCCGCUGCAGUCGGCCGGCCGAGGAGCUCGAGGUGGCUGCUCUCCAGCCGCCAGCCUCGACGCGGGCUUGCUGCGACACAGGCUCCUUCCCCCAUACCCUGAUGGCGUGCCUCCUCGCCGGCGACGAGACCCAUGGGCGCGUCAUAUUGCUGCUCUGCUCGUGUGCUUGUGCAGGCCAAAUCCAUGGAGCUGAUUGUUUUUUUUGUUUUUGAUUGAAGGGUGACCCUGUGAAAUUGUAGGGGCUGGUUUGUAAAAUGUUGAAGAGAGGAGUGUGACGCUGACAAGCUGGCCCCAUGUCUAGCAAUCGAUUUAAUGUAACGGUGUGAGAAAUUUUUGCCACGUAAGCCUGAUUGGUGGGCCCCGUCUGUCAUAAACGCACUUAACCGAGCUCGAUCCGUCGAUCAGUGUUUUUUACAAAAAGAUUACCGUAGACGUGGUGUUUUCUGCAAAAAAAAAGUAUUGUAGUAUUUUUCGCAAACCUAUCCUUCAAAGUGGUAGUUUUGUGCAAUUUACUCGGAAGGGUGAGAUCGAUCAAUCCUUCCUUUCCGGGAACCUGCGCCUUCCCUUUUAGGACGUUGACAAGUACUCCUACCAGGAGUGUUUUUUUUUCCUUCAACGAGGACCUAGGUGGUGAUUGGUAAUCGACUAAUCGGUCUUGCGUUUUAGUGCCACUGAUUCACAUAUUUUGAUGAAGUUUGUAGAAUAAAUAUUAACAUGUACAAAUGUCAUUAGAUUCAUUAUUGAAUGUACUUUCGUAUCAUAUAGUGUUAAAAACGGAGGGAGUAAUUACUAAGAGCAAGUUGUAUAAUAGUGGGUUAUAAACCCGUUUACAUGACACUUGUGCCUAUGUGAAGAGGAGAGAGACUAAAGGGCAAAAGGAGCUGGCUCUCAUGCAAGGUGAUGGCUAUAAAUUACAUGACAGUUUCAUAUAUCCAUCAACUGGCCAUAUUAUUAAUCCUGCUCUAAUUUAGGUACGACCAGCGGGAUCAAGCAGCUGGUGACGAUGAAUAACGACAAUGAAUUGAUCGAUCAUGUCGACGUCCAAUUGUGCUAACGCCGAGAGACGACCGGCGCCGCACGCAGAGUCGGCUAGUCAGUCUCGGUCGAGUCCGCAGCCCAAACUGCCUGCCUGCCUGCCGCCGCUGCUGCUGAUCAUGUGCUUGGUUUCGUCUAAACCUGCGUCCUGCCGUAAUUAAUUACUUCCUCUAUAUAUGAUCGCUUUGACUUGACCAUAAUAUGAUUCUACUAAAAAGGAACCGAUCGGCAUGUAUGCAUGUUGACAAAAUGUGUCGUCCAUUUUUUCUUCCCUCCAACGGGGAGGGCCUACCUGCCUACGUGACGCAUCAGCCGUCCGUCCACCCGCGUUUACUUGGAUUCGAGCCAUGAUCAUCACCUCCAAGUCCAGCUGUGCUGUGCUAAGCACGCCCGGAGACGACCGACGCCGGCACAAAAUCCAUGGCUAAACCACUCGCGCGAUGACCUUGACAAGAUCAUCAUCUUUGGGUUUCUAGAUCUGCAAGGGCAAUCGGCUUGCUUACAGGGAGGUCUUACUAUGGUGCAGGAUCUUGGCUGCGCUAAUAUUUUCCUGGAAUCUGAUUCUCUUGAGUUAAUGGAAUCAUGCAAUGGAAUCAUUAAAGUUUGGAGCCCAUACACGGCAAUCUUGGCGGACUGUGUUUUGAAAGCACAUGACAUAGGUUCGAUGAGCUCUUGCAUUGUCGAGGGAUGCUAAUCCAGCGACCCAUAAUUUAGCUAGGCUUUCCUUCCUAUGAUUCUAAAGUAGAGGAGCUAGGCUUUCCUUCCUAUAAUUCUAAAGUAGAGGUGGAUUGGGAUGGCGAUCCUCCAAGCUUUAUUCUUUCGGACAUGCCGUUUGAUGUAACUAUAUAGCUUUCCCCGCAAAAGAAAAAAAAAACUUGCUUACUAUAGCUUCAGGCUUGGGGACAGAAAUGGGGAGGGUUUGAGAGACACCCUCCUAACUUAACGAUCUCAGUAUCAUCAAUAAAGUCGCCGAAAUUUCAAAAGAAAAGAGGAAAGAGAGAGUACAGAACUCUCCAGCUCUGGAGCUGCUUGGAUUGGCAUAGAAAUCCAACAAGGCUUUGCAAGCACACGGGCAGGGCAGUUGCUAGCAUCAAAGUUUCGCAUUCGACAGUUAACAUUACGGAUCCAUCUCGCGCAUAUUCGUCUAACAUACAAGCUCAUGAGCAAGUUUACAUGUCCUGUCCCAGUCCCGCCGAGAUUUAGAGCAAAAAAGGCCCGGCACCAGCAACGCAGUCACUGCCACUAAACCCUUCCUGCGUUUGCACAUCACAGCACAGCGGACCAUAUAUAGGGCUAGCAGCUAUUGGUCCAGG